rnacentral:rRNA from 1 species
UAACACAUGCAAGUCGAACGCGGUUUUCCCGCAAGGGAAAACUGAGUGGCGAACGGGUGAGUAACACGUGGGUGACCUACCUUCGAGUGGGGGAUAACGUCCCGAAAGGGACGCUAAUACCGCGUAACAUCCUGCUCUUGAACGAGCGGAGAUCAAAGCUUUGGGAUCGUAAGACCUGGCGCUUGAUGAGGGGCCCGCGUCCGAUUAGCUAGUUGGUGAGGUAAUGGCUCACCAAGGCAACGAUCGGUAGCCGGCCUGAGAGGGCGGACGGCCACACUGGGACUGAGACACGGCCCAGACUCCUACGGGAGGCAGCAGUGGGGAAUUGUUCGCAAUGGGCGCAAGCCUGACGACGCAACGCCGCGUGGAGGAUGAAGGCCUUCGGAUUGUAAACUCCUGUUGCCAGGGACGAAUGGCCACGACCUAACACGUCGUGGUGUGACGGUACCUGGUGAGGAAGCCCCGGCUAACUCUGUGCCAGCAGCCGCGGUAAUACAGAGGGGGCAAGCGUUGUUCGGAAUUACUGGGCGUAAAGGGCGCGUAGGCGGCCUGUUAAGUCGAACGUGAAAUCCCCGGGCUCAACCCGGGAACUGCGUCCGAUACUGGCAGGCUUGAAUCCGGGAGAGGGAUGCGGAAUUCCAGGUGUAGCGGUGAAAUGCGUAGAUAUCUGGAGGAACACCGGUGGCGAAGGCGGCAUCCUGGACCGGUAUUGACGCUGAGGCGCGAAAGCCAGGGGAGCAAACGGGAUUAGAUACCCCGGUAGUCCUGGCCCUAAACGAUGAAUGCUUGGUGUGGCGGGUAUCG